CAAGGACACGCGAGCUGUGAGCAAAAAGUGACUAACCAAGUGAUCCUAGUGCCAAGUCGUGUGUGUGACUGUGACUGUGUGUGUGUUUGUGUGUGAAAAUAGUAUCAAAGCAAAACGCAAUUGCCGCUGGGCAAUUAAAAGGACAAUCUCUGGCCAAAACGUAAAUGAAAACUAAAGUCAAAUAUCUGUGCUGGCAAAUUUAAAAUAAACAGUGAAAUCGUCAAACCAAAAACAAAAGCAUAAGAGAAAGAGCCCGAAAACACAAAACAAAAAGCAACCAAAAAAUAGAAUCAAAACAAAACAAAACGCAAAAAAAGAAUAACGAAAGCAAAAACAAAAAAUACGAAAACGAAAUUUAAACGUCUGCAUAUUAAUCAGUGCUGCCUUCGCGACACGUCCUUACGACGACAGCGUAGGUUUGCAGCUUCCAGCUACGAGCUACAACGAGCAUCAAAACAGAACCCCACAGCAGCAGAGCAGAGGACAACUUAUCACUAAGGAUUUAGAGGCGCCGCUCGCAAAGCCGCUUAGACGUCAGGGACGACGACGACGACGACGACGAGUGGCCAGAGGCAAACGUUAAUCAACGGUCACAGGACCGGACGCAAAGUGCGCUCCUGUCUAGUUGUCUUUCGUGGGAUUCUCUCGCGCUCGCUCAACAUCAACAAAAACAAGAACAACAACCAGUAGCAAGGAAACGUCGCCUCAUUUGGCCACUGCGGAUUAUGUUAAUUAGAUUUUAAGCACGCGACGCUGCGAUGCCAGGGGAACAAUUGACGUUGUAAUGUGACAACAGUUGACUGCAGCAACAACAACGAGAGCAACAACAUCGUCCUCUACUAUAAUCAGAGCAACAAUAACAGGUGAAGCGAUGCACGCUUUUUAAUUGACAUUUACUCGAGUCGAACAACGUUGUACAGCAAUUAGCUGACUGCCUGAUAAAAGUUGAAAGAGGCGAAAAGAGACGAAAGUAAAAAAGCGAAAAGCGUAAAACAAUUGCAAACGACAAAUUAAAAAAAACAACAACAACACAAACUCAAAACAACAAUUGAAAAGGUGAUGGCCAAGUUGAUAUUUAAUUAAAUAUUCAGCAUUUUUAGAGGCUACGCUGAAAAGUAGGCAACGCUUUUGCCAACCUAUCGCGUUCGCUCUCUCUUAAAGCAGAGCCAAAAACAAUGGCCGCCAUUGCGGAAACAAUGGCAACGCAAACGUUAAAGCUGUCAAACUGUUGACAGUUGUCACAUGGUCGACCAGAGGAGCGCACGUGACGCAAAAAUCGUGCCAGGAAAGGGCAACUGGUGAACGUGAGUGAAUGAGUGAAUGAAUGAAUAAAUGGCAGGCAAAUGAAUGAAACGGCCAAACGUUCGCCAUAUUCAAAAAUUGAGGCAACAGCGACAAACGGCCAACACGCUAAACAUCUGCACGUACAACGCAUAAAUUUUAAGUGAAAUUAAAGGCAGUUGCUUCCCA